UGUCCCUCCCACCCUCUCGCCGCUGCCCCUACGUGCGUCUACAAUCGUGUGCUCCGGGGAGGGUCCGGGCAACAGCUGCCUUUGAUCAGGCCAACAUCUGGGAGACUCGGCACUUCAAGAACGCUGACUGGUGAUCAAAGGAAAAUGGAGAACCACAGCCAGACUUGGAAAUUAGGCAAGCAUUCUGUCCCCGGACCCUUGGAGAAACGGAGGUCUGAAGGUGGGGCUCCAAAACACCACCGGCAGCAGGUGACUUAACCUUUCUUGGCUUCCCGCUCCUCAUCGAGGUGGCACGUGCACAUAGGAGAGUGAACGUGUCAACGCGCUGAAUUGUCACAAACCGAACGCACCCAUAGAACCAGCCGCCAGGGGGAGAAACGGACCUUCCCAGCCCCUCGGAGAGGCCCUCUUGGUCCCUUCCAGUCACUAGCAGCUCCACCAAGACUGCUUAGCUUUGCUUUUAUUUAGUGCACGCCCGCUAGGAGCCAGGCAAGGCAGGAAACUACCCUGCGGGUGUGGCCUCACAUACACGUUGCAGCAACCCUACGCGGCCAGCGCUGUCGUGAUCCCCAUUUCACAGAUGAGAAAACCGAGGCACGGAAGAAUCCCAGUCACUUGCCCAGGGCCACACACUGGUAGGCAAGGCUUCGAGGCCUCGAAGGCCUGGCCACAGGACUGUGUGCUCUUGCCGUGAGAGGGAUGAUGCUCUUGGGAGUGGAUCGGUGCGGAGAGCAGUUUUAGUUUUUGGAGGGGAGACGGUAACACUACAGGGCUUUUAGGAAAACAGAGCCGUUCAGUGGCCCAGGGGGGCUUCUACUGAUGCCCGUGAACUCUUCAUAAGCAGCAGCCCGCGGCUUGCCCUCGGGAACUGGGUAGCACAGCCCCCACGCCUCUCUCCUCUUACCUCCCAAUUCUCUAUCCCAAGAGCUCCAUCAGGCCCUACAGGGGAGGUGCUGAUGGCACCAGGGGGAAGGCCACCCCCUUCCCCUACAGUCUUAGCCUUAGAAUAUCUUAGCCUGCGUCUGAAAGCAGAGCUUGAGGCGAGGGUUCAUGUGCAGGCAGUUGACCUGGGAGGUGAUCCCAGAGGGUGGGAAUGAGGGACAGGGAAGGAGGAAGAGCCAAUGUGGGGGUAUGUUAAUGCCUUGGCCGUGGCUGCGGGCGGCCGGUGUAUAUCCUGCAGGACCUAGAAAGCCUCACAAGAUGCAUCUCGGAAGCGUCUGCUCAGGGCAUAAAGGAGGGAAGCAUCCUUUACUGGCACCCACCCUCCUUGGCUCAAGGCGACCCUGUGACUGUCAACUCCCACUCACUUCUAGGCUGUGGGUUGGUGACCUGGUCUCCACAUCAGUGGCAGGGGUAAGAGGUGGGCUUGAGUAGAUAGACGAGGUUCAUGGAAGAGUCUGAGACACCGGGUGCUCCGUGGGCUGGGGCUGGCUCCUUCUCUCCACAGCUAACUGGUCACCCUCCCCCCUCAUCGGUCCUUCCCCCUCCCUCCCCCUACUCAGGUGACCACUGUCCUUCUAUCUUUUGCUCUGACACCAUCCCCGACAACACCAGAUGGUGCCUGCCUUACUUGAAGCCAUCCUGAAAUUGUGUUUCUCAACUAUUCUUUUUUUUUUUUUUAAGUGUAUUUAUUUUUCAGACAGAGAGAGACAGAGCAUGAACGGGGGAGGGUCAGAGAGAGAGGGAGACACAGAAUCGGAAGCAGGCUCCAGGCUCUGAGCCGUCAACACGGAGCCCGACGCGGGGCUUGAACUCACGGACCGUGAGAUCAUGACCUGAGCCGAAGUCGGAUGCUUAACCGACUGAGCCACCCAGGCUCAACUGUUCUUAUGUUCAAGUCCUAGCAUACAGUCAGCUAAGAUGAGGUCAUCCGGGAGUAGGGUGGGCCCCCAAUCCAGUAUGACUGGUGUCCUUAUAGAAGGGAGAAACUUGGGCACAGACAUGCACGCAGGGCGAACACCACAGAGGCGGAGAUCGGGGAGGGGGAGGAAACAUCUACACACCAAGGAACGCCAGAGAUUGCCAGUAAACCACCAGAAGCCAGCAUCGGCCCCCGAAGGGAGCAUCCCUACCAACACCUUGACCUCAGACUUCCAGCCUCCAGAACCAUGAGAAUAAACUGAUGGUCUUUUUCAUGAGCAACCUUUGUGGAAACAUAAAUCACGAGAAGGGAGAGACGCCUGUCACCGUUCACGAUGCAAAGGUACAAGUAGCAGAAGCCCGAGGAUAGGGUCUGAAUGACGCCCGCUGAGCCAACAUCACAGCUUCCGGCUCGCAGGGGGGCGCUCACCAACGCUUGUCCCUGGGAAAAGGGGACCUAGAAACAGGAUCUGGGGCUUGCAGACCAGAAACAGUUCCACGGGGCUACUCCUCCGAACCCAGGCGUCCAGACUUCCAGCAGAUUUGGACCAUCGGCGCUCCCUCCAGAUUCCCUCUCCUGGGGAUCUGCGAACAUCCUCUGGCUUCUGUGGGCUUUUGCUUCCGGUGGCUGCACCUGUCUCCGGUGACCGCUGCUCAGCCUGCAAGCAGGGCUGAGGUGCCAGGAGACGGGCGCAGUCCGGGCACCAGUCAGGAGUGACCCUCAGCCGACUACCGGCUGCUACAGGGGUGUGAAAGCUCACCUUCUGGGUCUCGAGGGAGUCGGGACAAGCUCGGAGACAUAAUUUACACUCCUGAGCUCCCCACAGGAUCAGACUAAGCUGAGGCUUUGCUGAAACCUCGCCGUGGCUUGGCUGCUUCUCCGUCCCCCUUCGGCUUCCCCCGCACGGCCUCUUGAUUUCUCCCGAGCGCUUCCUGAAUAAAUCACGCGUAAGACUCUUG